GUCGAAAGACGGCAUUUAAUGAGUUUAACUGGAGAACCCGGUAAAGAGCUUCAUUUCGUUAUCGUAAGAACUCGGAAACAACAAUUUUCAUUUGGUGGACGCCCCUUUCUAGUAGGGAGAAACCGUGUUAUUGAUAACAUAAGCAAAGGCCUUAUCGCUCACAAACCAAAUUCGGAUUAAAUUCUUAAUGAAGUUGUGCUCCUGUAUGUG